rnacentral:lncRNA from 1 species
UUUUUUUGAAUUAUAGAACAAGGAAGGUCUGUAAUUUUGUCCAAGCCUUCUCUUUUAGUUGAAGGAUGUGGCACAUCUGGGAUAUACAUGCAGAGAUCAGAAUAUGCAAAUUUUUAACUUUUAAAAAUUAUGAACAUAGCAAAAUUUAAACUGGACCUAAAUUUAAAAUAAUUUUAAAUCUAACAUGCAUAAAAUAUAGAUC